CUGAGGAGAUGUUUUUAGCCUAUAACUUCACUGAGAAGACCUGUUGAAUGAAUGAAUGUACUCUUUUUACUUUUGGAUUUGACUGUAGGAAGCACCUUACUGCAGUACUUGGAGAACAUGAUAAUAGAAAGGUAUCAACAAAAAUUUCUAUCCAUCAUAAAUAGUCCAAUCAUACUCCUGUCAGCUUACUCCCUCAAUAAAAGUGUGGAUGACUAGUGAGGCCUUGCAACAUGUGCAGGUCAACAAAAAGGCACUAUCUGGGGAGCAUUUGCAAAACAGAUGAGUAACUUGGAAUGUGAUUAUAUAGAGGCAUGAGUCCACAUGUUUACUGAAAACAUUCUGCUGAUAAAAUACAACAGUUGAUACAAGAACCUUCAAGCUCUGUAGUUAACAGAUGUUUGAAUGUCUAACUCUUACAGGGGAAGUGGGGGACUUCCAAGAAGCAUAACCACAGUGGUGCUGUCACAUUCAUGACAGACAUCACAGUAUGGAAUUAUCCAUAAGGGAGUCAGAGAUAUCAUUUACAAAAAUGAAUGAACCCCCAACACAGAUUGGUGAUAUGGUUUUGAAAUGUGAUCAAUACAUUUGACAUGAUUAACAACAGUUUAAAAAACUUUUGCAUCCUCAGCAUAUACCCAGAAGACCUUGACAAAAUUAAUGGAAUGACCUCUCUUACUUUGAAGAUUGAUUCUAAUGCUAGCUGCCUUCCACUUAAGGUUACU